rfam:Oceanobacillus picturae, S1, WGS project CCAX01000000 data, contig: 000003
GGUACCUUUAAUUCAGUCCAGAGAGGCUGACAAGGACAGCGGAUUUUUACAAUACACGAGGAGUAGGUGUGCUUUACCCUAUGCUGGUGUAUUGUAUAAAAAAAGAGGCUAAUUGUCAGGUUAACUGGUAAUUAGCCUCUUUUU